GACGUAGGGCGCGAGCGUUGUCCGGAUUUAUUGGGCGUAAAGGGCUCGUAGGCGGCCCUCUCAGUCGGAUGUGAAAUCCCCAGGCUUAACCUGGGAACGGCAUCCGAUACUGGAUGGCUAGAGUCUGGUAGGGGGAUCUGGAAUUCCUGGUGUAGCGGUGGAAUGCGCAGAUAUCAGGAGGAACACCGGUGGCGAAGGCGGGUCUCUGGGCAACAACUGACGCUGAGGAGCGAAAGCGUGGGGAGCGAACAGG
rnacentral:rRNA from 1 species